rnacentral:ncRNA from 1 species
UACCUGGUUGAUCCUGCCAGUAGUCAUAUGCUUGUCUCAAAGAUUAAGCCAUGCAUGUGUAAGUAUGAACUAAUUCAGACUGUGAAACUGCGAAUGGCCUCAUUAAAUCAGUUAUAGUUUGUUUGAUGGUACCUACUACUCGGAUAACCGUAGUAAUUC